rnacentral:tRNA from 1 species
AAGAGAAUGUAGAAUCUAAUAAGAGCUUCUAACUCCUUAUUAAAGCGGUUAAAUUCCGUUUUUCUCUUU